UACGGGGGGGGCAAGCGUUGUUCGGAAUUACUGGGCGUAAAGGGCUCGUAGGCGGCCAACUAAGUCGGACGUGAAAUCCCUCGGCUUAACCGGGGAACUGCGUCCGAUACUGGAUGGCUUGAGUUCGGGAGAGGGAUGCGGAAUUCCAGGUGUAGCGGUGAAAUGCGUAGAUAUCUGGAGGAACACCGGUGGCGAAGGCGGCAUCCUGGACCGACACUGACGCUGAGGAGCGAAGCCAGGGGAGCAAACGGG
rnacentral:rRNA from 1 species